ACCUUGUCUCUCGCUGGCCUCCUCCUUUCUCUCCUCGCUCCAGCAUUGAGCAGUGACUGUGUCUGAGGUCAGCUGGACUCUGGUCAUAGGUUCACUUCCCCACCUUCAUGUGUCAGGUCCCAUAAGAUGUGACACUGCGUCUUUGUGAUGUUUCGUUUGGUCAGUGAUGCUUCACACUCACCUUCAGCACUCGGUGGUGGCACCAGUGACAGUGACCAUUCCACAGGAUCACACUUUUCACAUUCGCUGAUGUUGAACUCCUCAAGCAACUCCUCCACUUCUCAGGUGUUUUCAUCGUCUGUCUGUCAGCAGGAUUCAAACUACUGAGCCUGUAUGUUAUUUAUAUCUAUGGGUCACAUUCACAUCCAUACAAACUUUGAUAAUGUUUCAUAUGUUCGAACAUUACGAUGACGAGGCCUCGUAAUGUUUCAGGGAGUCAGCUCUGUCUGUUGAGACGUUUUGUUCUGAAAAGGUCAAAACUCCACCAACACUUAACAGCGUUUAAUGACGUCAUCACAGGCUCUUCUCAAUAUCACUGCUUCCUUCCUUUAGAAACAAAACCUUUGGUUCCCUCUGUUCUGCACCUCAACCCCCCCCCCCCAGAAUAUUGCACUUUCUCCAGUAAACUUUCUGUUUUCACAACUUAGUUUCCACAGGAACAACCUCCGGGAUCUGCUGACAUUUAACCCUCUGUGUGUUCAGGAAGUCGUGCUGCAGGACGUAGAGCCUCCUUCUCAUCAGAGCUCGUUAGGCCCUCACGGAAGUGAUCCCCACGGAGCUGCUCUUCAAACACCAGGAUCCCAGAGGAACUGCUUCUGUUCCUGGAAGAGUUUCACUCACUAACAUGACUCGUCCCACCUUUUAGAAUAUGAAGUAAACUUAAAGCCACUGGGGACCCUCUGAGGAAAACCAGGCUUUAACAUCUGGGUACUUACAGCAGUUCAUCAUCAUCAUCAUCAUCAUCAUCAUCAUCAUCAUCAUCAUCAUCAUCAUCAUCAUCAGAGGUGCAACCAGGAAAAGUUCAGUGAAAAGUCUGUUGACUACGUUUAAACAGCAAUAAUCUGACUGUUGAUCUUAUUUAUAAUAUAAGAUAUUAUUCCAGUUAUGGUGUUUACAUGAGUUGCCACCAGAAUAAAUAAUUCAUAUUCCUGUUUACAUGUUAUAACAUUACGUCUUCUACCUGUUUACGCUCAAACUCAGGUCAUGUGUCAUCAUCGGUUUGUAACUGUUGUCUGUUGAUGUCACAAAAUGCUGUGAAAAGUCCAACAGGAGUUAAAACGUGAUGAAGACGUCACGAGACUGAGGACAGAAGACAAAACACACGUCCACAGUCUGAGUUUGACCUUAUUCAGGUUAAAGUGAUCAGAAAAUGA